rnacentral:misc_RNA from 1 species
AAGGAGUCUAACAUCUACGCGAGUGUUCGGGUGGCAAACCCGUGCGCGAAGUUAAAGCGAACGGAGGUGGGAACCCUCACGGGUGCACCAUCGACCGAUCCUGAUGUAUUGUGAUGGAUUUGAGUAAGAGCGUAGCUGUUGGGACCCGAAAGAUGGUGAACUAUGCCUGAAUAGGGCGAAGCCAGAGGAAACUCUGGUGGAGGCUCGUAGCGGUUCUGACGUGCAAAUCGAUCGUCAAAUUUGGGUAUAGGGGCGAAAGACUAAUCGAACCAUCUAGUAGCUGGUUCCUGC